CGAGUCAGCCUCCGUCUCCUUGAGGGCCCCGGCAACUGUCAGCCCUGGAGUCUGAAAACAAAACGUGUCCAUCCCGGAGUCCCUCCGUCACAGGUGUCUUCAUCUAGGUGGCAGCUGGUUCCGCAUAGGGUCUAUUGACCUGUUACCCCCACUCCGCAUAGGGUCUAUUUGCCUGUGUUACCCCGGCUCCGUGUAGGGUCUGUUUACCUGUGUUACCCCCACUCCGCGUAGGGUCUGUUUACCUGUGUUACCCCUACUCCGCGUAGGGUCUCUUUGCCUGUGUUCCCCCCGCUCCGUGUAGAAUCUGCCCUAGAGACUCGCGGGGCCUCCACCUCAUAAUGUCUGAGCCGAGCUCAGAGCUGUGCCCUCUGCGGCCUCGUCUGUUGCAGGGGAGCAGGCAGGUCCCAGGAAGUGCGUGUCCUUCCUCCCCCAAGCAGACACGUGCUGCCUCGAAGUCUCAUCAGCCAGCCGGGCAGGCAUGGCAAACAACACCCCAGUGUCUCGGGGGCAGGCGCAGUGUGAGCUACAUCCUCUGCUGGGGCCGUCUUGGGAGUGGUUCUCCAGAUGCCAGGGCCUGGUCAGGGAAGUCCGGCCUCAGCUCAGCGUGGCCCUGGAGCCACCCACAAGGCACACGGGAGCUGGGCUGGGGUGGCAGAUGGGGCAUCGGCAGGACGUUUGUGGGGUGAGGGAGUGCGGGUGUCUGGCUGGGAGCCCAGAGGGUGGUGUGUAUCGCUGAGGCUGGACAAGAGGGAAGGCGGAGAAGCCUGGCCACGUGUCUCCUGAGGGCUCCAGGCAGGGCCCUCUCACCUGCUGCCAGGGUCCCAGCCCGCAGGAGCUUCCCGUGCACCUCUGAACUCACGGUCCACAUGGCGCUGGAGCGUCGGGCACCAUCUACAGGGCUUGAGGCCAGCAGCCUAGCCUCUGGGUCCACUGGGGCAGGCGAGACAUGCAAGAAAGCACUUCAGCCAAGCAGAAGGGAGCCAGCUGGACGAGGUGCGCCAGGCCAUGGGCAUGCUGGCCUUCCCGCCCGACACGCACAUCUCCCCGUACAAGGACCUUCUGGACCCUGCACGGUGGCGGAUGCUGAUCCAGCAGUUCCGGUACGACAACUACCGACUACACCAGCUGGGAAACAACUCUGUGUUCACCCUCACUCUGCAGGCCGGCCUCUCAGCCAUCAAGACACCACAGUGCUACAAGGAGGACGGCAGCUCCAAGAGCCCUGACUGCCCUGUGUGCAGCCGCUCCCUGAACAAGCUGGCGCAGCCCCUGCCCAUGGCCCACUGUGCCAACUCCCGCCUGGUCUGCAAGAUUUCUGGCGACGUGAUGAACGAGAACAAUCCGCCCAUGAUGCUGCCCAACGGCUACGUCUACGGCUACAAUUCUCUGCUUUCUAUCCGUCAAGAUGAUAAAGUCGUGUGCCCGAGAACCAAAGAAGUCUUCCACUUCUCACAAGCCGAGAAGGUGUACAUCAUGUAGGCCCCACGUCGUGAAGCGCACGCCUCGGGGACGGGCUGCAGCGGGCGGGGAGGCCACGCCUUCCUCCUGUCCCACGCUCCAGCCUGCCGCGGCGUUUCUGUCUCUUGCGACCAAAGAUCCGUGAGCAACGAUAAAUACUCUUAGGAAGAGAGAAAAUAAGGUUUCAUAAGUUUGUACUUGAAAACAUUUGGAUUGGUAGGAUUUUGUAACACGUCAACCAUUUGAUGCUUCUGAAAAGUACUUUCAACUUGCGAAGGAAACUUCUUUAAAGACUGACCUAAACACCGAGGGAAACUUUAGAACGUUUAAAAUAUAGGAGUGCGUGAUUUCCCUGUGUUUUCAGUUUCUUUCCUUCUGUGAACGAUGAGACUUGGAGAACGGGCUGGUCCUUCACCACUUCCUGUUGGCCCUGGCCCGGCCGGGGAAGGUGGCAGCGGCACUGGACUGACCUGCAGUGACCCGCGAUGCCGCGCCACGAGGGACACUUAUGGCUUCAUUCGAGAGCUGCUGCCAAAACGCCUGGCGCCGCCACCGUCAGGGGCUGGCUUCGAGGACGCCCGCCUGCCUCGCGGGCCGUGUCUGCGGGACUGUGUUCGUACGUGCAUAGUUUCGAUAUCACAUCGCGGGGCUGUGUUCGUAGCUGCGUCGUUUCGAUAUCACACCCUCUGUGUGCCGCCUUACUUCCUGCUUCGAGAAUGUAUAACGUGGAAAUCCACGGGACCAAGUUUCUGCAGAGGCCUUGCCGGAUGGUUCCAUAACUGUAGAGUCUAAUUGCUAUCCAUUACAGAAAUUAAUCGUUCAGUUGAAAGAAGUACUGAUGACUUUUCAAAACAAAUGAACCACCGUAGCUGACAGAGAACCGUAUCGUAGAGGUUUGUAGUUAGUGCUUAUUUUUGCAUGUUGAUGUUGACUAGCUAAUAAACUGUAAAUGUAAACCAUGCG
rnacentral:sRNA from 1 species